ACAGAGGUCCCGAGCGUUGUUCGGAUUCACUGGGCGUAAAGGGUGCGUAGGUGGUGGGGUAAGUUUGAUGUGAAAUCUCCGGGCUUAACCCGGAAACUGCAUUGAAUACUACUUGGCUUGAGGUUUGGAGGGGGGACUGGAAUUCUCGGUGUAGCAGUGAAAUGCGUAGAUAUUGGGAGGAACACCAGUGGCGAAAGCGACUUUCUGGGCCGUUCCUGACGCUGAGGUUCGAAAGCGUGGGGAGCAAACAGGA
rnacentral:rRNA from 1 species